GACGAACGCUGGCGGCGUGCCUAACACAUGCAAGUCGAACGGAGUGAUUUGAAAGCUUGCUUUUGAAUCACUUAGUGGCGGACGGGUGAGUCACGCGGGAGUAACCUGCCUUUCGGAGGGGGCUAACGUUUGGAAACGGACGAUACGCCCCCGUAAGCCGGGCGGCGACAGUGGCGAAAGCCAGCCGGUGGAGUGACUCGCUUCCUAGCAGCUAGUUGGCGGGGUGAAGGCCCACCAAGGCGAUGACGGGUAGCCGACCUGAUGGGGCGGCCGUCCACACUGUGACUGAGAUACGGUCCAGACGCCUACGGGAGGCAGCAGUGGGGAAUAUUGUGCAAUGGGCGGAAGCCUGACCCAGCGACGCCGCGUGGGGGAAGAAGUCUUUCGGGAUGUAAACCCUUGUUGUACGGGACGAAGGAAGUGACGGUACCGUACGAGGAAGCCCCGGCAAACUACGUGCCAGCCGCCGCGGUAA
rnacentral:rRNA from 1 species